UCACACUAUCAAGCUUGGCUUGUUGUUGGGCCCUUUGUCACCUGGUGACAGGUCCCAAAGACAAUAACCGGUGUCAUACAGACUCUAUAUGCAACGAGCUUAUCACAGCACGCAUCUGGUAGUCGUGUGGCCCGGUUUUCACUUUGAUAAGUUAUUUAUCAUUUCUCAA
rnacentral:misc_RNA from 1 species